CGAGCACGCGCGUGUGGCAUAUCAAUAAGCGGAGGAAAAGAAACUAACAAGGAUUCCCUUAGUAACGGCGAGUGAAGCGGGAAGAGCUCAAAUUUGAAAUCUUCAAGGUUCUACCUUGACGAAUUGUAGUUUAUAGAAGUGUUUUCUGUUAGUGGAGUGGCAAAAGUUCUUUGGAAUAGGACAUCAUAGAGGGUGAGAAUCCCGUAUUUGGUCAUUCUUCUAGCGUUGUGAUACACUUUCAAAGAGUCGGAUUGUUUGGGAAUGCAGUCCAAAAUGGGUGGUAAAUUUCAUCUAAAGCUAAAUAUUGGCGAGAGACCGAUAGCGAACAAGUACCGUGAGGGAAAGAUGAGAAGAACUUUGGAAAGAGAGUUAAACAGUACGUGAAAUUGUCAAAAGGGAAGCGUUUGACACCAGUGUUGUUUUUCCGAAAAUCAAUUACGAAUGUUUUGUUUUUAAGGAGUUAUGACUUCAUCGGCUUGCUUCUUUCUUAUGCGAAACUUUCUUAAUGCACUUUUCGGUUAACAAGUCAACAUCAAUUUCUUUUGUUGUAAAAGGGUAUGAGGAAGGUGGCUUUCUCUUCGGCGCAAGUGUUUAUAGCCUUGUAGCCUCUGCAAUCGGAGAGAUUGAGGUCUGCAGCGUAGAUCCUUCGGGGUUAGAUACAGUUUGUGCUAAGCUAUAGCCUUGUAUAGACAACUUGUUGACUAUGCUCAGUCAUGUAGCUUACUCGCUGAUGCUAUUUUACCUACGCUUAGGAUGUUGAGCGCAUGUCUCUCUCU
rnacentral:rRNA from 1 species